AGAGUUUGAUCCUGGCUCAGGACGAACGCUGGCGGCGUGCCUAACACAUGCAAGUCGAGCGGAAAGGCCCUUUCGGGGGUACUCGAGCGGCGAACGGGUGAGUGACACGUGAGUAAUCUGCCCUUGGCUUUGGGAUAACUACCGGAAACGGUGGCUAAUACCGGAUACGACUGCUCCCGGCAUCGGGUGGUGGUGGAAAGUUUUUUCGGCCAGGGAUGUGCUCGCGGCCUAUCAGCUUGUUGGUGGGGUAAUGGCCUACCAAGGCUUCGACGGGUAGCCGGCCUGAGAGGGUGACCGGCCACACUGGGACUGAGACACGGCCCAGACUCCUACGGGAGGCAGCAGUGGGGAAUAUUGGACAAUGGGCGGAAGCCUGAUCCAGCAACGCCGCGUGAGGGAUGACGGCCUUCGGGUUGUAAACCUCUUUCAGUACCGACGAAGCGCCGAUGAUGGUGGUGACGGAGGACAAAAAGCCC
rnacentral:rRNA from 1 species